rnacentral:rRNA from 1 species
GGGGAAUAUUGCACAAUGGGCGCAAGCCUGAUGCAGCAAUGCCGCGUGUGUGAAGAAGGCCUGCGGGUUGUAAAGCACUUUCAGUGGGAAAGAAAAGUCCGGGGUUAAUACCCUCGGAUCUUGACGUUACCCACAGAAGAAGCACCGGCUAACUCCGUGCCAGCAGCCGCGGUAAUACGGAGGGUGCAAGCGUUAAUCGGAAUCACUGGGCGUAAAGCGCGCGUAGGCGGCCAAGUAAGUCAGAUGUGAAAGCCCCGGGCUCAACCUGGGAACGGCAUAUGAUACUGCCUGGCUAGAGUCUGGUAGAGGGGGGUGGAAUUCCAGGUGUAGCGGUGAAAUGCGUAGAUAUCUGGUGGAACACCAGUGGCGAAGGCGACCUCCUGGACCAAGACUGACGCUGAGGUGCGAAAGCGUGGGGAGCAAAC